CUUUGUAAAGGCGGGGGCGGCUGCCUCUAUAUAUCUGUCAUUCUUCUCUCUCUCUCUCUCUCUUAAGUCUUACCAUUCGCAUUGUAAAGCCGCCCAUCGACUCCUCGAGCUCGAUCGCUCGCCGCCAAGAACUACAAGCCAUGGAGACGGCGUCGGCCGCGUCCGUCCAGGGCCCCAGCGCGGCGCCGUGGGCGGACAUGGACACGGACUGCCUGGUUCACGUGUUCGGGCGCCUCGACCUGGAGGACCUGGCGGCGGCGGCCCCGCUCGUGUGCCGGGGCUGGCGCCGGGCCGCCGCCGAACCGUCCCUGUGGCGCGCCCUCGACCUGCGCCGGGACCACGUCGCGCGCUUCAUGCCCUGGGGCGCGCUCGCCGCCGCCUUCGCGCGCCGCUACGCCGUGCGCGGCUUCUCGCUCGCGGGCUUCCUCAGGAUCUGCGUGUGGCGCGCGCGCGGCUCCGCCGAGGACGUCGCGCUCCCGCCGCUCCUCGCCGAGCCGGCGCACGAGAUCGACCACAUUUCGCUCCGGUGCCCCAGGUUGCGGCGCCUGGCGCUCCCGCACCUGACGGUCGGCGACGAGGCGCGCCUGCCGGACCUCGUCCCGCGGUGGCCGCUGCUGGAGCAUCUGGAGCUGGAGACAAAGCCGUCGUCCUCCUCCUUCCCGGCGCUCGCCGCGCAGGUCGCGCUGCACUGCCCGGCCUUCGCCAGCCUCAAGACCUCGGGGGCCUUCAAGCGCGAGGACGCCGCGGCGCUGGCGCGCUCCCUGCCCAGGCUCCGCUCCCUCUGCGUCGACCGCUCCUACCUGCCCAAGGAGCAGCUUCUCGCCAUCCUCGCCGCCUGCAGGGACCUGCGGGAGUUCAGCGCGCGCAGCUGCGUUGGCUUCGACGACGAGGACGAGGAGGUGCUCAGGCACGGGGCCAGGAUCCUGCGGUUCGACGUCGGAGGGUCGAAGCUGGUGGACGAACUAGACGACGAGUUCCCCGGCGGUGGCGGUUUCUGCGACUCGUCCUACGUUGACGUGAUGUGAUCUCUGUCGCUGGUGCUCGCGGUCGCGGCGCGGCUGCUAAGUGACAGAGCCCACACAUAAGUACACAACAUAAUUAAUGCAGUUUGGAUUUCAUUCUAUUGUAUGAGCAGGGGAAUUAUACUAUUAUUAUUGUAUUUAGAGGCGUUUGGUUUCUAAAAAUAAUUUUUAGUCUAUUAUUUUAUUUAAUUUUAGUCUCUAAAAUGUUAAAUACGAAAACUAAAAUAAAACUUUACCUUUC
rnacentral:misc_RNA from 1 species